UUACUUACCUGGACGGGGUCAAUGGAUGAUCAAGAAGGUCCAUGGCCUAGGUUGGUGACCUCCAUUGCACUUAGGAGGGGUGCCUGCCUAAGGUCGGCCCAAGUGGUCGAGCCUAUGUCAUAAUUUGUGGCAGUGGAGGCCUGCGUUCGCGCGGCCUCUG
rnacentral:snRNA from 1 species